rnacentral:rRNA from 1 species
GAUGAACGCUGGCGGCGUGCCUAAUACAUGCAAGUCGAGCGAACGGACGAGAAGCUUGCUUCUCUGAUGUUAGCGGCGGACGGGUGAGUAACACGUGGAUAACCUACCUAUAAGACUGGGAUAACUUCGGGAAACCGUAGCUAAUACCGGAUAAUAUUUUGAACCGCAUGGUUCAAAAGUGAAAGACGGUCUUGCUGUCACUUAUAGAUGGAUCCGCGCUGCAUUAGCUAGUUGGUAAGGUAACGGCUUACCAAGGCAACGAUGCAUAGCCGACCUGAGAGGGUGAUCGGCCACACUGGAACUGAGACACGGUCCAGACUCCUACGGGAGGCAGCAGUAGGGAAUCUUCCGCAAGGGGCGAAAGCCUGACGGAGCAACGCCGCGUGAGUGAUGAAGGUCUUCGGAUCGUAAAACUCUGUUAUUAGGGAAGAACAUAUGUGUAAGUAACUGUGCACAUCUUGACGGGACCUAAUCAGAAAGCCACGGCUAACUACGUGC